rnacentral:rRNA from 1 species
AACGAACGCUGGCGGCAUGCCUAACACAUGCAAGUCGAACGAUGCCUUCGGGCAUAGUGGCGCACGGGUGCGUAACGCGUGGGAAUCUGCCUUUCGGUUCGGAAUAACUCAGGGAAACUUGAGCUAAUACCGGAUAACGUCGCAAGACCAAAGAUUUAUCACCGAAAGAUGAGCCCGCGUAGGAUUAGCUAGUUGGUGAGGUAAAGGCUCACCAAGGCGACGAUCCUUAGCUGGUCUGAGAGGAUGAUCAGCCACACUGGGACUGAGACACGGCCCAGACUCCUACGGGAGGCAGCAGUGGGGAAUAUUGGACAAUGGGCGAAAGCCUGAUCCAGCAAUGCCGCGUGAGUGAUGAAGGCCUUAGGGUUGUAAAGCUCUUCUACCCGGGAAGAUAAUGACGGUACCGGGAGAAUAAGCCCCGGCUAACUCCGUG